rnacentral:rRNA from 1 species
UAGGGAAUCUUCGGCAAUGGACGGAAGUCUGACCGAGCAACGCCGCGUGAGUGAAGAGGGUUUUCGGAUCGUAAAGCUCUGUUGUAAGAGAAGAACGAGUGUGAGAGUGGAAAGUUCACACUGUGACGGUAACUUACCAGAAAGGGACGGCUAACUACGUGCCAGCAGCCGCGGUAAUACGUAGGUCCCGAGCGUUAUCCGGAUUUAUUGGGCGUAAAGCGAGCGCAGGCGGUUAGAUAAGUCUGAAGUUAAAGGCUGUGGCUUAACCAUAGUACGCUUUGGAAACUGUUUAACUUGAGUGCAGAAGGGGAGAGUGGAAUUCCAUGUGUAGCGGUGAAAUGCGUAGAUAUAUGGAGGAACACCGGUGGCGAAAGCGGCUCUCUGGUCUGUAACUGACGCUGAGGCUCGAAAGCGUGGGGAGCAAACAGGAUUAGAUACCCUGGUAGUCCACGCCGUAAACGAUGAGCGCUAGGUGUUGGGUCCUUUCCGGGACUCAGUGCCGCAGCUAACGCAUUAAGCACUCCGCCUGGGGAGUACGACCGCAAGGUUG